AUGAGAUUAUGUCACAAUGUAAUCAGGUCAAAAAUUUAAAUGUAACAAUUGGUACAGACAAUUUAUAUAGAAACAUGUUUGAAAUCCUCACUAAUCAUGUUUUCUAUUUUUUUCCCUAUGACGAUCUUGUCAUAGGCAACCAUUUAUUUUCCUUUGGAGUUUGCAAUGUGCUUCAGACGUGAAGAUAAGCCUUAUUUAUUUGCAAUGUGCUCUGGACUUGAAGACAAGCCUUAUUUAUUUACAAUGUGCUUGUAAAAACUGUUAAUAAUUCACUUUUAUUAAUCUGUAGGGAGGCUGGCAUUCCAUUUUACUGUCAAAAGAGUUGAGAUGAAACUCUUGGAACUCUAGGCUUGUAAGCCUCAUUGAACAAAGCGAUCUCCUUAAAAGGGGUCCAAGCUAAUAUCCAUGUUUCACAGAGCUAUUUCCAAUGAGACGGACACUCCGGACUAAAGCAAAUAAAAUUACAGUAAAAACUAUAUUAAUUGUUUGCCAGGAAAAUUUCUUUUAAUAUUAAUAAUCUUAAACCAUGGUUUGACAAUAUGAUAAAAUACUGAAUGAGAAAUAAGAUGACUAGCUGUAACUGAGAACGUUUUAAAGUAUAAUCUACACCAGUGUUUCCCAAACUUUUGAUCUAUGUGUACCCCUUUUAUAAUGUAAUUUAUUAACAGAACAUAGUAACUGGGUAUUUUAAAAAAAUCAGCAUAGUUAAUGAGGUGCAACAUGUACCCCCUCCAAAGUCUUCCCGUACCCCUGGGGGUACGCGUACUCCACUUUGGGAAACACUGAUCUACACUGAUGUUUUUUGUACUUGCAAUAUUUAAAAUAAUGAUCUAAUAUUUAGCAUAAUUAGGGGAAGGGAUGAUCUGAGAUGAUCUCGGGUUCGAAUCUUAGUGAAGACUGAGAUUUAAAAUUUUAGGAUUAAUCCACCUAACUCUAAUGGAUACCUGCUGUUAACUGGGGGAAAAUAAAGGUGGUUAA